CCUCAGGUCACCUGGGGACUUUGUUAAGAGGCAGAGUCUGGUUGAGCGGGUCGCAGCGGCCUGAGAAUCUGCAUUCUGAGCACGUUCCCUGGGGACACCAAA
rnacentral:pre_miRNA from 1 species